rnacentral:rRNA from 1 species
AUGCCGCCGCGACCGAAGACGGAGAAAACGGGGCUUCGCCGCCGCCGGCGAGAGGAUGCGCUGCAUCACGUCGUCCAUACUGCGGCGGAGGUAGGCGUGGACGACGUGGCGCUGGCGCAGCACGCCGUCGAGGUCGAUCCUAACGCGGAGACCCAGGCGGGGCGGGGCUUGGAUGCGCCGCCGCCCGACCUCGUCGUUGGUGGGCACGCAGAGCUCGGCGUCGACGAUGGGGCGCUCGUCGAGCAUGGCGUCGAGGUCGAUCCUGACGCGGAGACCCAGGCGGAGCUCGGCUUGGAGGUGCCAGCGCACGCAGAGCUCGUCGUUGGUGAUGCGACUCGGGGUACUCAGGGCAUGGGUCCGGACCUUGGCGCGCUGCUGCACAAGGUGGAGGCUCUCAUGAACGACGUUGAUGCGCUCGUCGACGCGGUCGCGGCGUUCGUCGACCGGGUCGCGGGUAUGAACGGCAUGGAGGAGGAGGAUGGCUUCGCUGCGUUGCUUGACGCGGUCGUGGAGUUCGUCGGCCGGGUCGCGCGUGUCCGUGCCAUGAAGGAGCGCUUCGCUCGGCCAAGAUCGACAGGGUCUGUGGGCAAUGGCUUUCCUCGGCCAAGAUGGAUGUUGGCCUUGGAUGAAGAAGAAGUGAUAAUAACACCUGAAAUGCUAGGUUCGUGCACGCGCCCUGGUCUUGAUGCAAUGAUGAACUAUAUGAAGAGGCGGCUGGAAUCAAUUGAAAAGAAAAAACAAAAGGAAGAGAUGUGA